AUGAACGCUAGCUACAGGCUUAACACAUGCAAGUCGAGGGGCAGCAUGGUCUUAGCUUGCUAAGGCCGAUGGCGACCGGCGCACGGGUGAGUAACACGUAUCCAACCUGCCGUCUACUCUUGGACAGCCUUCUGAAAGGAAGAUUAAUACAAGAUGGCAUCAUGAGUCCGCAUGUUCACAUGAUUAAAGGUAUUCCGGUAGACGAUGGGGAUGCGUUCCAUUAGAUAGUAGGCGGGGUAACGGCCCACCUAGUCUUCGAUGGAUAGGGGUUCUGAGAGGAAGGUCCCCCACAUUGGAACUGAGACACGGUCCAAACUCCUACGGGAGGCAGCAGUGAGGAAUAUUGGUCAAUGGGCGAGAGCCUGAACCAGCCAAGUAGCGUGAAGGAUGACUGCCCUAUGGGUUGUAAACUUCUUUUAUAAAGGAAUAAAGUCGGGUAUGGAUACCCGUUUGCAUGUACUUUAUGAAUAAGGAUCGGCUAACUCCGUGCCAGCAGCCGCGGUAAUACGGAGGAUCCGAGCGUUAUCCGGAUUUAUUGGGUUUAAAGGGAGCGUAGAUGGAUGUUUAAGUCAGUUGUGAAAGUUUGCGGCUCAACCGUAAAAUUGCAGUUGAUACUGGAUAUCUUGAGUGCAGUUGAGGCAGGCGGAAUUCGUGGUGUAGCGGUGAAAUGCUUAGAUAUCACGAAGAACUCCGAUUGCGAAGGCAGCCUGCUAAGCUGCAACUGACAUUGAGGCUCGAAAGUGUGGGUAUCAAACGGGAUUAGAUACCCUGGUAGUCCACACGGUAAACGAUGAAUACUCGCUGUUUGCGAUAUACGGCAAGCGGCCAAGCGAAAGCGUUAAGUAUUCCACCUGGGGAGUACGCCGGCAACGGUGAAACUCAAAGGAAUUGACGGGGGCCCGCACAAGCGGAGGAACAUGUGGUUUAAUUCGAUGAUACGCGAGGAACCUUACCCGGGCUUAAAUUGCAGAUGAAUUACGGUGAAAGCCGUAAGCCGCAAGGCAUCUGUGAAGGUGCUGCAUGGUUGUCGUCAGCUCGUGCCGUGAGGUGUCGGCUUAAGUGCCAUAACGAGCGCAACCCUUGUUGUCAGUUACUAACAGGUUCUGCUGAGGACUCUGACAAGACUGCCAUCGUAAGAUGUGAGGAAGGUGGGGAUGACGUCAAAUCAGCACGGCCCUUACGUCCGGGGCUACACACGUGUUACAAUGGGGGGUACAGAGGGCCGCUACCACGCGAGUGGAUGCCAAUCCCAAAAACCUCUCUCAGUUCGGACUGGAGUCUGCAACCCGACUCCACGAAGCUGGAUUCGCUAGUAAUCGCGCAUCAGCCACGGCGCGGUGAAUACGUUCCCGGGCCUUGUACACACCGCCCGUCAAGCCAUGGGAGCCGGGGGUACCUGAAGUGCGUAACCGCGAGGAGCGCCCUAGGGUAAAACUGGUGACUGGGGCU
rnacentral:rRNA from 1 species